rnacentral:rRNA from 1 species
AGUUGAAUGGGAAACCUAAAGUUCCCAUGGCAAACUGCUCAGUAACACAUGAUCAACUUACCCUAUAGAGAAAAAUAACCUCGGGAAACUGAGGAUAAUGUUUCAUAGUUGAAUUGGCUUGGAAAAGUUUUUCGACGAAAGGGGUAAAAAAAUGGUUUUUAUCUGCUAUAGGAUAGGAUCGUGUUCGAUUAUGGUUGUUGGUGAGGUAAUGGCUCACCAAGCCGAUAAUCGAUAGGGGCCGUGAGAGCGGGAGCCCCGAGAUGGGUACUGAGACAACGACCCAGGCCUUACGAGGCGCAGCAGGCGCGAAACCUCCGCAAUACACGAAAGUGUGACGGGGUUACCCAAAGUGUUCAAUAGAACUGUGGUAGGUGAGUAAUGUUCCCUACUAGAAAGGAGAGGGCAAGGCUGGUGCCAGCCGCCGCGGUAAAACCAGCUCUUCAAGUGGUCGGGAUAAUUAUUGGGCUUAAAGUGUCCGUAGCCGGUUUAGUAAGUUCCUGGUAAAAUCGGGUAGCUUAACUAUCUAUAUGCUAGGAAUACUACUAUACUAGAGGGCGGGAGAGGUCUGAGGUACUGCAGGGGUAGGGGUGAAAUCUUAUAAUCCUUGUUGGACCACCAGUGGCGAAGGCGUCAGACUGGAACGCGCCUGACGGUGAGGGACGAAAGCCAGGGGAGCGAACCGGAUUAGAUACCCGGGUAGUCCUGGCCGUAAACGAUGCAUACUAGGUGAUGGCACGGCCAUGAGCCGUGUCAGUGCCGUAGGGAAACCGUUAAGUGUGCCGCCUGGGAAGUACGGUCGCAAGGCUAAAACUUAAAGGAAUUGGCGGGGGAGCACCACAAGGGGUGAAGCCUGCGGUUCAAUUG